AUGUCACUCGCAGAAAGAAGGUGUGCAGAUUUAGCCGCAGGCAGCCAUGACAUGAUGUGCAUCAGACAAACUGCAAUGACAGCAAAUCUUGAACUUCCACUAGAAAAGGUCUCUAUAAGCUGCUGGGAGGAGUUUUACCAAAUGAACUCAGCAGAAUGUCUCAUGACUGGAAUCUGCUCCAAGGUUAAUAAAGAUCAACUCUUUGUUUUUGCUGUUUGUGUUUCUGUAAGUGGACGAGCUGUUUGGUUUGACACAGCAGGGCUGAGCAGAAGGAUCAUCUGUGUGGAAAGAACAUCAACACAAAUAUCUGCAGUUCUAAGGACUGAAAGAAGAACAACAAUCUUUACAAUCACUGACAUGAAAUGAGUCCAUUCAACAACUUUUUGAACUCGCUGUAUCAAAGGACCAAGUUGUGAUGAAAGGCCAGCAGUGCUGUGCACUACCAAGUAAAUCCAUGAGCAGUGUUGCUCAUAUCAAUACUAACACUGCUCUGUGUCACUUCUAAUGGCAGUAUAUGUAUGUAUAUGUAGGGGAGAGCAGUGUGUCAGCAUUUAUGAGAUGAACCAUCAUCAAUGUUCUGAACACAUUUUAAUGACACUAAAUCACUGUGAUGUUCACAUUCUGCAAUAAUUAGUUAACACAAUAAAAACACAGCUUUGAGCUUUUUUGGACACCUUGAAUAUAAAUGUGCGUCUCAGUAAAACACAAUGUGCUGCAGGCUACAAAUAAAAUAGGUGUGAUAGUCACACCAAAAGCUUCAGACAGUUUUCAUUGUGCAUGUUUGACCUACUUUGUUUUCCCCUCAAAAUAUUGAUGUAACACAGUCCAGUGUCUGUAUAAUGAACUUAGAGCAUAGAAACAAAGUCUCAGUCCCAUCACACUAGUAUUGAUCCGACACCAAUACCAGCGUUGGUAUCGAUUGGCCACCUUUAAGGUCCAAUUCAUGCCUUUAUUGAACAACUAAUUCCUGCCUGUUCAAAUGAAGUUCCUGCAGAAAGCUUUAAAAGGAGCAACAUUUCAGUCUGUCACACUAACACAUGCUGGAGCAGCUGUUCAUAUUUAACAUGCACAUAUUGUUCACAACCAAACAAAGCGCUGCAGUUCUCCCUCUCUGUAAAGCAGCACAGUUACAUGGAAAAGAUAAAGCCUACAGUGGACAAGCUGCUGAUCUCAGAUCUGUAGGUGAUGACAGAGAGCACAUGUGGCUGUGCAUUUAUUAACACUGGGAACUGUGGGAACCAGUAGAAGAAGAAGGCUGCUUGAUGAUAUUAAGGUAAGUGUGGAAACUUCUUCACACUGAGCAUUUAAAGCCUGCUGGCUGCUCAUGUUGUGAGUGUGUGUGUCCUCACUCAUCAGGAGUGUGUGAAGCUUUCAUGUGCAUCCAUCUGUUCCUGCAUCAGUGUGUGUGUCCUCUAUGAAAAGCUUGAGAGCUCCUCAGACCGUGCACACACACACAUGAAGACCAGGCUGUGUCACAAAGUUUACACGUUUGAUCCGACUGUGUGAAGAACACAACAUGUGAAGCUUCAGCUUCUCUCUGUGUUUAAACACACUCACAGGCAGCCAUGUGACUACCAAGCUUCAGCCAAUCAGAACAAACUGGAGCAAAGUUCAACAUGUUAGAAGUUAGUUUGUGCCCAGUGUGCAUGUUUCAUGAGUGCUGUGAUAACUCUGUGUGUGCGUUUAUUGAAAUGGCUUUAAGAUGCUUUGUUUCACUUUAUUGGCAGCAGUGUUGUGACUGCACGAGCUGUGACUGAAAGGAUCAGGCUGAAGGUACGAACGCCAUCCGUGAGCUUCCUCUGAAGGGCGUCUGGGUGAGGCGUCCGACUGGGAGGAGACCCCGGGGCGGACCCAGGACACGUUGGAGAGAUUCAGUCUGUCGACUCAUCGGGGAACGCCUCAGCGUCCCAGAAGAGCUGGAGGACGUGGAAAGAGGUGUGAGCGUGUGCGCUGAGACCGCCGCCCCGUGAGCCCGACCGGGACGAGCAGGUGUAUGAAGAGGGGCGGGGCUUAGUGAGGCUCUCUGACUGGAUAUGAUUGGUGUUUUACAGCCACAGCACCCUGAGCAGCCCCGAUCUGACAUCAUCUCUGAAAAUCAAUCAAUAAUCAAUCAGCGAGUUUGUUUGAUUUUCACUGUGAACUUUGUUUCAAAGAUGGAGGCCACGCUGCUCUCAGAGGACUGUGUGUGGUUGUGGUAAACGUGUGAGCUGCUGCUGGUUCUUCCUCACAUGUUUGACAUGUUUCCACCUUUUUCACAGAUGUAAACGGGUCCAAAAGGCUCGAGUGGUUCUGGAUUUGACAGCACGAGGACUUU
rnacentral:lncRNA from 1 species